AUUGAACGCUGGCGGCAGGCCUAACACAUGCAAGUCGAGCGAGCGGCGGACGGGUGAGUAAUGUCUGGGAAACUGCCUGAUGGAGGGGGAUAACUACUGGAAACGGUAGCUAAUACCGCAUACCAUCAGAUGUGCCCAGAUGGGAUUAGCUAGUAGGUGGGGUAACGGCUCACCUAGGCGACGAUCCCUAGCUGGUCUGAGAGGAUGACCAGCAGAGCUGUAACGGAGACACGGUCCUGACUCCUACGGGAGGCGGCAGGUGGGAAUAUUGCACAAUGGGCGCAAGCCUGGUGCAGCCAUGCCGCGUGUGUGAAGAAGGCCUUCGGGUUGUAAAGCACUUUCGGCGGGAAGGCGUUGCCCGCAGGAGGAGCACCGGCUAACUCCGUGCCAGCAGCCGCGGGAAUAC
rnacentral:rRNA from 1 species